UUCCACCAAACGGACCCUUAUCAGUUUCACCGGCCACAGGCCCAGCUUCUUCUUCCUGCGUCUUCAGUCAUCCAAAAACACUCCGUGACUUUCUUUUCUAUCUGGGUUGGGUUGGCUCUUCUCCAAACUCGGUACAAUUACAUGACGACCAUGGGUAGCUUAACAACGAGCUUAACAGCUCGAACGCUUACAAGUCCCAAUCAAUGCCCAGUAAGACAGCAUUUUCGACUAAAAUUUAGAAGAAGUAGCGUGUUUCUUAGACCCUUGUCCACGCGCAGAAGUUCAAGAAUCGUUUGCAUGGCGGAGCCUUAUUUGAUAACAAAGCUCGAAUCCGCAGAGAAGACGUGGAAAGAACUAUCGGUCAAGCUGGCAGAUCCAGAUGUUGUCUCAAAUCCAAGCGAAUACCAAAAACUGGCACAAUACAUGGCAGAGCUUGAUGAAGUUGUGUCAAUUUAUAGGAGAUUCAAGGAUUGUGAGAAGCAGUUGGAAGAGACUAAAGCUUUAGCAAAAGAGGAAGGAAAUGAUGAAGAUAUGGCUGAGAUGAUAGCAUAUGAAAUUGACUCUUUAUCCAAUGAAAUUAAAGAGCUUGAGGAGAAGCUUAAGGUACUACUGUUACCUAGUGAUCCUCUUGAUGCGAGAAAUAUAAUGCUUGAAGUAAGGGCAGGUACUGGUGGUGAUGAAGCUGGAAUAUGGGCUGGUGAUCUUGUCCGUAUGUAUCAGAAAUACAGCGAGCAAAACUCUUGGAAGUACUCUUUAGUUUCAAGUUCCGAGGCUGAAAAAGGUGGAUACAAAACCUAUGUGAUGGAGGUAAAAGGGAGUCGUGUUUACAGCAAAUUAAAAUAUGAAUCUGGUGUACAUCGAGUUCAGCGUGUUCCUCAAACAGAAACUCAGGGACGUGUGCAUACUUCUACUGCAACAGUAGCCAUCAUGCCUGAGGCAGAUGAAGUUGAAGUGGUAAUUGAUCCAAAGGAUAUUGAACUUACAACAGCAAGGUCUGGAGGUGCUGGAGGACAAAAUGUUAACAAGGUGGAAACAGCUGUUGAUCUUUUUCACAAACCAACGGGAAUUCGCAUCUUUUGUACUGAAGAAAGGACACAACUUCAGAAUAAAGCCCGUGCUCUUCAGCUUCUGCGAGCAAAACUGUAUGAGAUGAAAGUAAGGGAGCAGCAAGAGUCAAUAAGGAACCAACGUAAAUUACAGGUUGGCACAGGUGCUCGAGCAGAAAAGAUUCGAACAUACAAUUACAAGGUUACAUGUUCUUUAAUUAGGACAAUAGAGUCACCGACCACCGGUUAAAGAUGAACUUUGAGCUUACAUCUUUUCUUGAAGGUGAUAUAGAAAAUGCAGUGCAGGCAUGUGCUGCCAUGGAGCAGAAGGAACUCCUGGAAGAACUUGCAGAGUCUGUAGGUGCUCCCGCUGGCUGAUUUGCAAAAUUUUGUCACUUGCUACAAUACUCUCAAGUUGUUGAAACAGGGGAAAACCACUUGGAGGAAGUGCUGAUAAGCAAAUUGCUGCCGAAGUAAUCUUCUCAUAGCAACUUUCUUAAGACGGAUAUUCACAGGUCAAAUUUAUUUGUAUUUAUGGAUGCAAUCAGACGCCGUAUGCAUUUGGUAUUUACCAACAUCUAUAUGUACGGGACUAGCCACUUAAAUUGUAUCAUAUCAUAAUGUAUUGUAUGCUAUGAUUUCAGUUGAAUUGUAAAUUACUUUUAUUCAUUUAUGCCCAUGCUUCUAAUCUGAAAUUUUAA